rnacentral:lncRNA from 1 species
GUCAGGACUCACUUCCGUCUCUGUCCUGCCACUUCCUCGCUGUUCCUGCCAGCUCUCCCAGCUUCUCAGCUUGCCCCUGGCUACCAACCCAACUCCCACGUGGAACAGGGAAUGCUCUUCCAACAACCUUACCCCUGGCCAGUGCUUCCUUCUGGACCCAAAAAUAAAGCUGGAGUUUUGGGAAACCUCCCCCACCACCAUGCUGGAACUUUUUCAACCAUGGAAAGCAGGUGCUGCCUUUCUGGGAAGGAUUUGGGGCACUGAUCUUAUCUUGUAGGCCCUUUUUAAAAAAGCCUUGUGACACUUCACCCAUCUUUGACAUAUACAGCCUUUCAUUCAAAAUGGUGCUUUUUCAAAAAGCCCAGGAUGUGAGCUUGAAAUGUAAUUCUGGAAGCUGACCUUUAAUGAAGUUUGUUUAAUCAUAAACUCUUAUUGUUGGAGCUAGUGCUGCAUGUCUUAAAAGCUUUAAAGGGUACGGCAGGUACUCAUAUCUGAUUAGCAUCUGCACUUCACCAGGUGGCCAUUUGUUGUCUAAAAAUGUUGACAUUCAACAAUGUAAUGAAAAUGUUGGUCCUGGAUGAUAAAAAAAGUUUUUCACACAGCAAGGCAGAGGACAGUGCACUCUGUUGUGGGGCGUAUGUCUCCCUGCACCACUAACUAGGGCAGGGGUGAGGAAGUGGUGGGCCACACCUCUGCCUGGAAGACGUGGUUUUUCCCAGGUACUUCAGAGGCUCUUUUCAAUGUUUGCAAUUGUAGGGGGCUCAGAAUUCGCCAGGAUUUAACAGGACUGGAGGAGGCCAAAUUCACUAGGAUUUAAUAGGACUGGAGGAGACCAGAAUGGGCUCCCCAGAGGCCUCAAACCCCCAUUCCUUUCUGUCACCCAGAGUGACAUAUAAGCCUCCUCCCCACCUUUUUCACGGGGGAAGUUCUUAUUGCAAUGAUCCUGUGUCUCCCCAUCAUUGUGAAUGGCCUGUGUUCGGACCUGUUAGAGUUAUGACAGAGGCCCCAGAGCCACCUCCAGAAGACCUGCCUACCCAGUGAGAGGACUUCUCAGCAGCUGGUGACCCAUCCUAGACACAGGGGAUUCCCCGUGGAGUUGACAGCAGUGAGGUGGGAGGAGAAGGAGGCCUACAGACAGGGAAGCAGGAGACGAAGCAGACCAGGUGUCUCACCCUCAGCUGCUGCUGCACUCCCCAUGCUCUUCCAAACACCCUUCCCCCUGCAACUGCCUCCCUCUGGGUUCUGGAGCUAAGAGAGCCUGCAGGACUUGGGGCCCCUGGGGACAGAAUGGGAGCAGAACAGCCCCACAAACAGGGUUCCCUUCCCAAAUCCUGACCCCAGGAACCCCAGCUCCUGAUUCCAACUCAGCUGCCCAUCUCCUAGGGGCUGUGUGGUGCAGCCAAGUCAAGUGCCCUCUCUGAACCCCAGCAUUCUCAGCUGUAAAAAGGGGAAAUCAGUGUGUCCAUCUUGCACUGAGGUAAUGUAAACUCGAGUGUGGUGACUGGCAAAGCAAAUAUUCAGUAAAAGGUAAUUGUUUUUAUAGCAUACACAGUGAGCCUUGGGGCUGAGCCUUAUAACUUGGUUCAACCAUGAAAAACAACAAAUAUUAAACAACCUUUUCCUUGUUUGAACAACUGGCAUCUGGAAUUCAUCUGAAGAAUUUGCUGAAAGCUUGGUGGUUGUAUGAAGAGAGCCAUGAAAGUCUUUGCUAUGAUAUGAAUGUGUCCCCCUAAAAGCAUGUGUUGGAAACGUAAUCCCUGAUGGAACAAUAUUGG